rnacentral:rRNA from 1 species
GAGACUGCAAGACUUGAGAUCGGGUGAGGUUAAACGUACUUUCAGGGUAAGGGUAAAGUCCUGUAAUCCCGGAAGGACGACCAGUGGCGAAAGCGUUUAACUAGAACGAAUCUGACGGUAAGGAACGAAGGCUAGGGUAGCAAACCGGAUUAGAUACCCGGGUAGUCCUAGCUGUAAACAUUGCCCAUUUGAUGUUGCUUUCCCGUUGAGGGAAGGCAGUGUCGGAGCGAAGGUGUUAAAUGGGCCGCUUGGGAAGUAUGGUCGCAAGACUGAAACUUAAAGGAAUUGGCGGGGGAGCACCGCAACGGGAGGAAUGUGCGGUUUAAUUGGAUUCAACGCCGGAAAACUCACCGGGAACGACCUGUGCAUGAGAGUCAACUUGACGAGCUUACUCGAUAGCAGGAGAGGUGGUGCAUGGCCGUCGUCAGCUCGUACCGUAGGGCGUUCACUUAAGUGUGAUAACGAGCGAGACCCACAUCUUUAAUUGCAAAUGUAUAUGGGAAUAUGCAUGCACUUUAGAGAAACCGCCAGCGCUAAGCU